AUUGAACGCUGGCGGCAGGCCUAACACAUGCAAGUCGAGCGGCGGCGGACGGGUGAGUAACGCGUAAAGAACUUACCUCACAGUUAGGGAAAACAUUUGGAAACGAAUGCUAAUACCUAAUACUGUGAGAGAGCUUUGCGUCCCAUUAGCUAGUUGGAGAGGUAACGGCUCACCAAGGGGAUGAUGGGUAGCAGGCCUGAGAGGGUGAUCGGCCAAAAGGGGACUGAGACACGGCCCUUACUCCUACGGGAGGCAGCAGUGGGGAAUAUUGGACAAUGGACCAAAGUCUGAUCCAGCAAUUCUGUGUGCACGAUGAAGUUUUCGGAAUGUAAAGUGCUUUCAGUUGGGAAGCGGUACCAACAGAAGAAGUGACGGCUAAAUACGUGCCAGCAGCCGCGUAAUAC
rnacentral:rRNA from 1 species